CGCGUCCGAUCAGGUUGUUGGUGAGGUAACGCCCCAUCAAGCCUUUAACCGGUGCGGGCCGUGGGAGCGGGAGCCCGGAGAUGGGCACUGAGACAAGGGCCCAGGCCCUACGGGGCGCAGCAGUCGCGAAAACUUUGCAAUACACGAAAGUGUGACAGGGUCAUCCCGAGUGCUUUCCGCUGAGGAUGGCUUUUACCCAGUAUAGAAAGCUGGGAGAAUAAGGAGAGGGCAAGCCUGGUGUCAGCCGCCGCGGUAAUACCAGCUCUCCGAGUGGUGUGGAUGUUUAUUGGGCCUAAAGCAUCCGUAGCUGGCUGGGCAAGUCCCCUGUUAAAUCCACCGAUUUAAUCGUUGGAGUGCGGGGGAUACUGUUCGGCUAGGGGACGGGAGAGGCCGACGGUAUUUUCGGGGUAGGGGUGAAAUCCUAUAAUCCCGGGAGGACCACCAGUGGCGAAGGCUGUCGGCUAGAACGCGCCCGACGGUGAGGGAUGAAAGCUGGGGGAGCGAACCGGAUUAGAUACCC
rnacentral:rRNA from 1 species